rnacentral:rRNA from 1 species
CCUACGGGGCGCAGCAGUGAGGAAUAUUGGUCAAUGGGCGAGAGCCUGAACCAGCCAAGUCGCGUGAGGGAUGACUGCCCUAUGGGUUGUAAACCUCUUUUGUAUGGGGGGAAUAAGCUUUACGAGUAGAGUGAUGACAGUACCAUACGAAUAAGCAUCGGCUAACUCCGUGCCAGCAGCCGCGGUAAUACGGAGGAUGCGAGCGUUAUCCGGAUUUAUUGGGUUUAAAGGGUGCGUAGGCGGACUGGAAAGUCAGCGGUAAAAUCGAGAGGCUCAACCUCUUUCCGCCGUUGAAACUGUCGGUC